UCUUCUAAACAGAGUACAGCUGCUGAUGUGCUGUGUACUGUAGUUGGUGGUGAAGCAGUCUGAAGUAUAAGAGAAAUGUCGAGAGGAAGACAAAAUCAACGCUUGAAGAAACUGAUCAUCCUUCGAGGUUUGCCAGGAGUUGGAAAGACAAGCAAGGCAGAAAUGCUCUGUGAUGAAUAUGCAGGACUUGGACUGGAAGGAGAAAUUUUCUCCACUGACAGGUACCAUGAAAGAACCGACUACACCAAAGGAAACUUUCAACGCAACCAUCGGCGGAAUAGAGAGGAUGGUGUGUAUUGGGUGGCUGGGGGCAGGGGCAGAAACAAUCUGCUCAUGAUGUCAUUACACACACAUAGUUUGUUCUUCUUUAAAGUACUGGUACUCUGGCUUGUUUUGACAGUUUUUAAAGCCUUGAACAGAGGAGUGGAUCCGAUCAUCGUUGACAACACAAACAUUUCUCUUUGGGAGAUGUGGCCCUAUAUCCACAUGGGGAUGCGACAGGGUGACUAUGACAUCACUAUGAUGGAGCUGCCUAAAGGCUAUCCUCAGAACAAAAUCUCCAUCAACAAGCUGUACAGGUCAGAAACAACCUCUUCAUUAACAGCCUACAUUCUCACAGUGUAUACACAGUACAUGUGCAUUGGGGUAGGAUUGUAUACUUGUUUACCAGUUUUACAGCCAUCAAUAGAUUGUUAUUAAUUAUCUAUAAAUGAUACAUUGGUUAUCAAUUCAAUGAUAAAAAAAGCUGUGUUAUCUCCCUAUAGAUGGUGUAAGCAUAAGAUCCCCAAGCGUAAGUUCAGGUACUUUGAGGCUCGCUGGGAAGAAGCUUACAACAUCUGGCAUGUAUUUAACGACAGCUACUCCAUAAACCACUGGGAGCAACGCGAAGAGAAAUGGAACGUCCAGUGAUGAAGACAUGCUGGCCUUCUCCCCCCCCCAAAGUCCCCAAAAUCCAGAACAAACUCAAGAAAGCGUACAGUAUUAUAUAGAGCCCUUAUUGCAUGGAACUUCCUUCCAUCUCAUAUUGCUCAAAUAAACAGUAAACCUGGUUUCAAAAAACAUAAAGCAACACCUCACGGCACAACGUCUCUCCCCUAUUUGACCUAGAUAGUUUGUGUGUGUGCAUUGAUAUGUAGGCUACGUGUGCCUUUUAAAAAUGUAUGCAGUUCUGUCCUUGAGCUGCUCUUGUCUAUGAAUGUUCUGUAUUAUGUAGUUCUGUAUUUCAUGUUUUGUGUUGACCCCAGGAAGAGUAGCUGCUGCUUUUGCAACAGAUAAUGGGAAUCCUAUUAAAAU
rnacentral:lncRNA from 1 species